AGUGAGCGCUGGCGGUAGGCCUAACACAUGCAAGUCGAACGGCAGCACAGUAAGAGCUUGCUCUUACGGGUGGCGAGUGGCGGACGGGUGAGGAAUACAUCGGAAUCUACUUUUUCGUGGGGGAUAACGUAGGGAAACUUACGCUAAUACCGCAUACGACCUACGGGUGAAAGCAGGGGAUCUUCGGACCUUGCGCGAUUGAAUGAGCCGAAGUCGGAUUAGCUAGUUGGCGGGGUAAAGGCCCACCAAGGCGACGAUCCGUAGCUGGUCUGAGAGGAUGAUCAGCCACACUGGAACUGAGACACGGUCCAGACUCCUACGGGAGGCAGCAGUGGGGAAUAUUGGACAAUGGGCGCAAGCCUGAUCCAGCCAUACCGCGUGGGUGAAGAAGGCCUUCGGGUUGUAAAGCCCUUUUGUUGGGAAAGAAAAGCAGCAGGUUAAUACCCCGCUGUUCUGACGGUACCCAAAGAAUAAGCACCGGCUAACUUCGUG
rnacentral:rRNA from 1 species